AGCGCGGACUUCGGUCUGGCGGCGAGUGGCGAACGGGUGAGUAAUGUAUCGGAACGUGCCUAGUAGCGGGGGAUAACUACUCGAAAGAGUAGCUAAUACCGCAUACGCCCUACGGGGGAAAGGGGGGGAUCGCAAGACCUCUCACUAUUAGAGCGGCCGAUAUCGGAUUAGCUAGUUGGUGGGGUAAAGGCUCACCAAGGCGACGAUCCGUAGCUGGUUUGAGAGGACGACCAGCCACACUGGGACUGAGACACGGCCCAGACUCCUACGGGAGGCAGCAAGUGGGGAAUUUUGGACAAUGGGGGAAACCCUGAUCCAGCCAUUCCGCGUGUGCGAUGAAGGCCUUCGGGUUGUAAAGCACUUUUGG
rnacentral:rRNA from 1 species